rnacentral:rRNA from 1 species
UACGUAGGGUGCAAGCGUUGUCCGGAAUUAUUGGGCGUAAAGAGCUCGUAGGUGGCUUGUCACGUCUGCUGUGAAAACUCGGGGCUCAACCCCGAGCCUGCAGUGGAUACGGGCUAGCUAGAGUGCGGUAGGGGAGACUGGAAUUCCUGGUGUAGCGGUGAAAUGCGCAGAUAUCAGGAGGAACACCGAUGGCGAAGGCAGGUCACUGGGCCGCAACUGACGCUGAGGAGCGAAAGCAUGGGGAGCGAACAGG